AUGGCUGUCGUCAGCUCGUGUCGUGAGAUGUUGGGUUAAGUCCCGCAACGAGCGCAACCCUUGCCUUUAGUUGCCAGCAGUUCGGCUGGGCACUCUAAAGGGACUGCCGGUGUUAAACCGGAGGAAGGUGGGGAUGACGUCAAGUCCUCAUGGCCUUUAUGACCAGGGCUACACACGUACUACAAUGGCCGAUACAAAGGGCAGCGACACUGCGAGGUGAAGCCAAUACCCGUAAAAUCGGUCUCAGUCCGGAUUGGAGUCUGCAACUCGACUCCAUGAAGUUGGAAUCGCUAGUAAUCGUGGAUCAGCAUGCCACGGUGAAUACGUUCCCGGGCCUU
rnacentral:rRNA from 1 species